rnacentral:rRNA from 1 species
AAAUUGAAGAGUUUGAUCAUGGCUCAGAUUGAACGCUGGCGGCAGGCCUAACACAUGCAAGUCGAACGGUAGCACAGAGAGCUUGCUCUCGGGUGACGAGUGGCGGACGGGUGAGUAAUGUCUGGGAAACUGCCCGAUGGAGGGGGAUAACUACUGGAAACGGUAGCUAAUACCGCAUAACGUCGCAAGACCAAAGUGGGGGACCUUCGGGCCUCACACCAUCGGAUGUGCCCAGAUGGGAUUAGCUAGUAGGUGGGGUAACGGCUCACCUAGGCGACGAUCCCUAGCUGGUCUGAGAGGAUGACCAGCCACACUGGAACUGAGACACGGUCCAGACUCCUACGGGAGGCAGCAGUGGGGAAUAUUGCACAAUGGGCGCAAGCCUGAUGCAGCCAUGCCGCGUGUAUGAAGAAGGCCUUCGGGUUGUAAAGUACUUUCAGCGAGGAGGAAGGCGUUGUGGUUAAUAACCACAGCGAUUGACGUUACCCGCAGAAGAAGCACCGGCUAACUCCGUGCCAGCAGCCGCGGUAAUACGGAGGGUGCAAGCGUUAAUCGGAAUUACUGGGCGUAAAGCGCACGCAGGCGGUUUGUUAAGUCAGAUGUGAAAUCCCCGGGCUCAACCUGGGAACUGCAUUUGAAACUGGCAAGCUUGAGUCUCGUAGAGGGGGGUAGAAUUCCAGGUGUAGCGGUGAAAUGCGUAGAGAUCUGGAGGAAUACCGGUGGCGAAGGCGGCCCCCUGGACAAAGACUGACGCUCAGGUGCGAAAGCGUGGGGAGCAAACAG